rfam:Salmo salar isolate Sally breed double haploid chromosome ssa01, whole genome shotgun sequence.
GCAUUGGUGGUUCAGUGGUAGAAUUCUCGCCUGCCACGCGGGAUGCCCGGGUUUGUUUCCCGGCCAAUGAA